rnacentral:rRNA from 1 species
CAGCAGUAGCCGCGGGAAUACGAAGGGUGCAAGCGUUACUCGGAAUUACUGGGCGUAAAGCGUGCGUAGGUGGUGGUUUAAGUCCGUUGUGAAAGCCCUGGGCUCAACCUGGGAAUUGCAGUGGAUACUGGGUCACUAGAGUGUGGUAGAGGAUAGUGGAAUUUCCGGUGUAGCAGUGAAAUGCGUAGAGAUCGGAAGGAACAUCUGUGGCGAAGGCGACUAUCUGGGCCAACACUGACACUGAGGCACGAAAGCGUGGGGAGCAAACAGGAUUAGAUACCCCUGUAGUCCCUGUCUCUUAUAC